rnacentral:tRNA from 1 species
GAGAGUAUAGCUCAAUUGGCAGAGCAGUCGGCUUUUAACCGACUCGUUGCAGGUUCAAUUCCUGCUACUCUCA